rnacentral:rRNA from 1 species
AUUGAACGCUGGCGGCAUGCCUUACACAUGCAAGUCGAACGGUAACAGGUCUUCGGAUGCUGACGAGUGGCGAACGGGUGAGUAAUACAUCGGAACGUGCCCGAUCGUGGGGGAUAACGAAGCGAAAGCUUUGCUAAUACCGCAUAAGAUCUACGGAUGAAAGCAGGGGACCGCAGGCCUUGCGCGAACGGAGCGGCCGAUGGCAGAUUAGGUAGUUGGUGGGAUAAAAGCUUACCAAGCCGACGAUCUGUAGCUGGUCUGAGAGGACGACCAGCCACACUGGGACUGGGACACGGCCCAGACUCCUACGGGAGGCAGCAGUGGGGAAUUUUGGACAAUGGGCGGAAGCCUGAUCCAGCCAUGCCGCGUGCAGGAUGAAGGCCUUCGGGUUGUAAACUGCUUUUGUACGGAACGAAAAGACUCUUUCUAAUAAAGAGGGUCCAUGACGGUACCGUAAGAAUAAGCACCGGCUAACUACGUGCCAGCCGCCGCAGUAAGAC